GAUGAACGCUGGCGGCGUGCCUAAUACAUGCAAGUCGAGCGAACGGACGCGAAGCUUGCUUCUCUGAUGUUAGCGGCGGACGGGUGAGUCACACGUGGAUACCCUCCCUAUCUGACUGGGAUAACUUCGGGACACCGGAUCUAAUACCGGAUAAUAUUUUGAACCGCAUGGUUCAAAAGUGAAAGACGGUCUUGCUGUCUCUUCUCGCUGGAUCCGCGCUGCAUUAGCUAGUUGGUAAGGUAACGGGUUACCAAGGCAACGAUGCAUAGCCGACCUGAGAGGGGGAUCGGCCACACGGGAACUGGGACACGGUCCAGACGCCUACGGGAGGCAGCAGUAGGGAAUCUGCGGCAAUGGGCGAAAGCCUGACGGAGCAACGCCGCGUGAGUGAUGAAGGCCUUGGGAUCGUAAAGCUCUGUUAUUAGGGAAGAACAGAUUUGUAAGUAGCUGUACACAGCUUGACGGUACCGAAUCAGAAAGCAACGGCUAACUACGUG
rnacentral:rRNA from 1 species